rnacentral:lncRNA from 1 species
AUGGAGGAUGUGAUCGGAAGUGAGCAGUUCGUCUCCACGAUGAAGGACGAGGAGUUGGCAUGCUUUCCCUAUGAGUGCCUACACGAGGAUCUGGCAUGCCAUGAAUCAUCUCUCCUUCUGUCUCCUGGUGCCUGCACAUAUUCACAGAUUAUUCUCUGGAUCCAGAGUGCAAGUAAGGACAUUCCCGCCCUGAAAACAAGAAAGAAGGAGGUCUGUUCUUUCCAAAUGUACUCAGGGCAGGUGAGGAGACACCUCUUCUGGGUAGGGUAGAAGAGGGUGGGGGUAGGUUUGGCUUGGCCGGGGUUUUGAAGAAAUUCAGAUGGCCAUGCACACACAUACUGAAAGCAGCCCACGUAGUUCUCUGUUGUCACCAUGUGAGCGCGGCUGAACUUCGUGCCCAGGACUCAUACCUGGUGAGUAGUUGUCCCUAUGUUCGCUUUGUCUUUUCUUUAUACGUGUGUGAAGGAGUGAAGGGAGGGGAGGCAGCUC